UUUUCCAAAACAUGUCUUUUUGAUGGUUUAAUUUAAAGUCUGCCCUGCUCAGUGAUUGAAUUAAAUAGCUGCAGUAUCUUGACUGUACUAAGGUAGCAUAAUCAUUUGUUCUUUAAUUAGGGACUGGAAUGAAUGGGUUGAUAAGGGAUUAUCUUUCUUUAUUAUAGUAGUAUAACUUAAUUUGUAGGUAAAAAAGCUUACAUUUAUUUAAUAGACGAGAAGACCCUUUAGAACUUUAUUAUAAUAAAGUUAUGUUAUUUAUAAGGAGAUUAUAGAGGGGUAAUUAUAUUAUAAUUUUGUUGGGGAGAUAGUUUAAUAUGUUUAACUUAAACUGAUAAUAAAUCAUUGAUUUAUGAUUAAAAUAGAUCCUAUUUUAUAGAUUAAAAGACUAAGUUACCUAAGGGAUAACAGCGUAAUUUUACUGUAGAGUUCUUAUUAAUAGUAAAGAUUGCGACCUCGAUGUUGGAUUAAAAUUAGUAUUAGGUGUAGUGGCUAAAUUACUAAGUCUGUUCGACUUUUAAAAUUUUACAUGAUUAGUUUUU
rnacentral:rRNA from 1 species